AUUGUAGGCGGUUCGUGUGUGGAUUUCGUCAACAUAUCGUCGUAAACAGGUAAUCCCCAACCAUAGUGGGCUUGGAGCUGUGAGGGAAUUUGGAGUGGCCACCCGUUCUGAAAGUUUGAUUUUCUUCUGGUGAACUGGACAUCCUUUUAAUUACGUUUGAGGUUUUGGGCUUUUAAAUAUAAUAAGGCCGCUUAUUUA